rnacentral:rRNA from 1 species
GUCUUUAAGAAAUUAAUUUAAAGUCUAAUCUGCCCAAUGAUUAUUUAUUUAAUGGCUGCAGAAUUUUUUACUGUACAAAGGUAGCAUAAUAAUUUGUUUUUUAAUUAAAAACUAGAAUGAAAGAUUUAAUGAAAUAUAAACUUUUUCAAUUAAUUUAAUUUUUAAAAUUUUUAUUUAAGUAAAAAAACUUAAAUUAUUUUUAAAGACGAUAAGACCCUAUAGAAUUUUAUUUAAUAAAUUUUAAUUUAAAAUUUAUUAAAUUUUAUUGGGACAAUAAAAAAAUUUAUAAAAUUUUUUUUUAAUAAUACAUUAGUUAAUGAAUUUGUUAUAUCUUAAUUUUUAAAUUAAAAAAAUUAAUUACCUUAGGGAUAACAGCAUAAUUUUUUUUAAAAGACCAUAUUAAUAAAAAAGAUUAU